GAAAGAUUGUUUUUGUCAGAAUCAGACGCGUUCCCCUCACCGAGCUAAUCAUCGCAGAGCUAGUGGAGAUGAGAAUGCUUUACCCCAGAAUGCAAGAUCCAACUCAGAUCGUUUGAGUGAUGCUAGCUCAGCACGGUCUGGGAGUGGUUAUAUGUGUGACAGUGAAAGCGAUCAGGACACUCAUGUAAGUACACUACUUUAUGAUCUGAUAAGAGACAUAAAGAAAAGGGGAGGGAGUAGUUGCCAAGCUUCAAUGUUUAAAAAGAAAUAUAUCAUGUCCCUUGGGAAUCCCC